rnacentral:scRNA from 1 species
GAGAGAGGAAACUAUGCCCGACGAAACAACCA